rnacentral:rRNA from 1 species
GAUGAACGCUGACAGAAUGCUUAACACAUGCAAGUCAACUGUGGCGGACGGGUGAGUAACGCGUAAAGAACUUGCCUCACAGAUAGGGACAAAAUUUGGAAACGAAUGCUAAUACCUGAUACUGUGAGAGAGCUUUGCGUCCCAUUAGCUAGUUGGAGAGGUAACGGCUCAACAAGGCGAUGAUGGGUAGCCGGCCUGAGAGGGUGAUCGGCCACAAGGGGACUGGGACACGUGCCUUACGCCUGCGGGGGGCAGCAGUGCGGAAUAUUGGACAAUGUACCAAAGUCUGAUCCAGCAAUUCUGUGUGCACGAUGAUGUUGUCGGAAUGUAAAGUGCUUUCAGUUGGGAAGCAGUACCAACAGAAGAAGUGACGGCUAAAUACGUGCCAGCAGCCGCGGUAAUAC